GAUGGCACCUCCCGCCUCCCAAGAUGGCGCCUGCGCUUCCCAGGUCGCCUGGCGCUUCCGGGUUGCGGCCCAUCCCCCGCCGCUCCGCCAUGGCCGCCCUGUCAGACGCCGAGCUUCGGCGGGAGCUGUUGGCGCUGGGCUACAAGGCGGGGCCCAUCACCGACACCACCCGCCGCCUCUACCAGAAGAAGCUGGGCUGCCUGCGGGCCGAGCGGGCGGCCCAGCGCCGCAGCCAGGCAGCCCAGCCGAGCCCGGGGCGGCCCCAGGCCCCACGGCCGAGCCUCAGGGGGAGCCCCGGCGAUGAGGGCGACUCGGAGGAGGAGGAGGAGGAGGAUGAGGAGGACGAGGCCCGCACGGGGCUGUCGUGGGGGGCCCUGGGCGAGGCCCCCCCCAGCGCCCGCCCAGGCCUGUCCUCAUUGGGCCUGGCCCACAGGCCACUGCUGGCGGGAGUGGACUCGCACUCCUGGGCUCCCGGGACCUCCCCAGGGCAGCUCAGCCACCGGCCCCUGCUGGGCUCGCGGGCCGCCACGUUGUCCCCCAGCGCCCGCUGGGACGCGGAGCCGGCCACCGGGGUGCUGGGCCUGAGCCCCCGGCCCCUGCUGGGCUGUGACGGAGGGAAAUUCCCCCGCUGGGACAAGGAGCCGGCCGCUGGGCCACUGGGGCUGAGCCGCCGGCCCCUGCUGGGGGGCCGGGAAUCGGGCUCCGGCACCACGUGGGAGAAGGGUGGCCCCCACUGGGCUGGCGAAGGAGCCCCGUGGAGGCCGGAGGGAGAUGGGUCGGCUUCCAGGAGUUCGUGGUGGCGGCCAGGACUCGGCGGGGACCGUCCGUCCCCGCUGGGGUCCGCACGGGCCGAGCUCACCCGCCGGGCCCCGUGGAGGAGUGCGGCGGGGCCAGGGCUGGCGAGCCGGGCAGCUGGCUCCUCAGCAAGGCCUGAGAGAAAGGGCAGGCCUUUGGAGUACUACUUCUCCUGGUUCCUGUGUCUCUCCUCGUUGACGCUGCUGCUGAUUUUCUUGGGCAUCCUCUGGGUGAAGAUGAUGGGAUCCAGCCAGCUUCAGGGAGCAGAGGACAGCUUUAAGCAGUUACCUGUGGAUUGUAAUAAAAAAACAGAUGAAGUAAGUGUGACUCCUUUCUUUUUUUAAUCUUGCAGUGGGUGCAGGCAUCUGAUAGAUGGUUAAUUAUUGCAGCCAACUCAGAAGACAUUUUCUAUCAAUAUGACUACAGAAUAACCUCCAUCCUUUUACAGUCAUAAUGUAGUGAUUUGUAGAAGUUGGACUUAAUAGGCUUGUCUGGCCUUGUGAGGAGGGAAGAGAUGGUGUCUGUGUAGGAGCUUCUGAAUGGUACAGAUUUAAAGCUGCUGAACAUCUGAAUCCCCUGCUGUUAUGGAAACUUUUAGUUGAUUAUAACAUAAGUGACUUUGAUUGCUGACGAAGGCUGUAGCUGUAUAUUCAUCUUUUGUAAUACAACCUUUAAUACUGCUAACUCCCCUAAUCUCUGUUAAAAUGUGUUUACGCAGCCUUGACUUAUUCCAUAAUGUAUUCUUGAGAGAGACAAACUUUUGUAUCAAAUUCAGCGUAGUAGUAGUAUGGCCCUUGGAGAAAUGUGUAGUAAAUCUGCUUACUGUAUAUGAGUUUGAAGGAACUGCUCCUUCAGCUAUUGUUGGGAAUAAAAGGGUCCGAGACUAUGAGGUUUGGGAGCUA
rnacentral:lncRNA from 1 species